UACGUAGGGUGCAAGCGUUAAUCGGAAUUACUGGGCGUAAAGCGUGCGCAGGCGGUUUUGUAAGUCUGACGUGAAAUCCCCGGGCUCAACCUGGGAAUUGCGUUGGAGACUGCAAGGCUAGAAUCUGGCAGAGGGGGGUAGAAUUCCACGUGUAGCAGUGAAAUGCGUAGAGAUGUGGAGGAACACCGAUGGCGAAGGCAGCCCCCUGGGUCAAGAUUGACGCUCAUGCCACGAAAGCGUGGG
rnacentral:rRNA from 1 species